CCUACGGGGGGCAGCAGUGGGGAAUAUUGGGCAAUGGGGGAAACCCUGACCCAGCAACGCCGCGUGAAGGAAGAAGGCUUUCGGGUUGUAAACUUCUUUUACCAGGGACGAAGAAAGUGACGGUACCUGGAGAAAAAGCUCCGGCUAACUACGUGCCAGCAGCCGCGGUAAUACGUAGGGAGCAAGCGUUGUCCGGAUUUACUGGGUGUAAAGGGCGUGUAGGCGGAGUUACAAGUCAGAUGUGAAAUCUGGGGGCUCAACCCCCAAACUGCAUUUGAAACUGUAGCCCUUGAGUAUCGGAGAGGCAGGCGGAAUUCCUAGUGUAGCGGUGAAAUGCGUAGAUAUUAGGAGGAACACCAGUGGCGAAGGCGGCCUGCUGGACGACAACUGACGCUGAUGCGCGAAAGCGUGGGGAGCAAACAGG
rnacentral:rRNA from 1 species